rnacentral:rRNA from 1 species
AUACGGAGGGGGUUAGCGUUGUUCGGAAUUACUGGGCGUAAAGCGCACGUAGGCGGACUGGAAAGUUGGGGGUGAAAUCCCGGGGCUCAACCCCGGAACUGCCUCCAAAACUUCCAAUCUAGAGAUCGAGAGAGGUGAGUGGAAUUCCAAGUGUAGAGGUGAAAUUCGUAGAUAUUUGGAGGAACACCAGUGGCGAAGGCGGCUCACUGGCUCGAUACUGACGCUGAGGUGCGAAAGCGUGGGGAGCAAACAGGAUUAGAUACCCUUGUAGUCC